rnacentral:rRNA from 1 species
AUUGAACGCUGGCGGCAUGCCUUACACAUGCAAGUCAAACGGCAGCACGGGAGCAAUCCUGGUGGCGAGUGGCGAACGGGUGAGUAAAGUAUCGGAACGUGCCCAGUCGCGGGGGAUAACGUAGCGAAAGUUACGCUAAUACCGCAUACGAUCUAUGGAUGAAAGCGGGGGAUCGCAAGACCUCGCGCGAUUGGAGCGGCCGAUAUCAGAUUAGGUAGUUGGGGGGGUAAAGGCUCACCAAGCCGACGAUCUGUAGCUGGUCUGAGAGGACGACCAGCCAGACUGGGACUGAGACACGGCACAGACUCCUACGGGAGGCAGCAGUGGGGAAUUUUGGGCAAUGGGCGAAAGCCUGAUCCAGCCAUGCCGCGUGCAGGAUGAAGGCCUUCGGGUUGUAAACUGCUUUUGUACGGAACGAAAAGGUUUGGGCUAAUAAGCUGAGCUCAUGACGGUACCGUAAGAAUAAGCACCGGCUAACUACGUGCCAGCCGCCGCGGUAA